UUGAUUCAUUUGUUUUUGUUACUCAGAAGGAGAUUCCACUGAAGAGCGAAGGCAAGAGUUUGGGUCCCCCGGCGGGCGCCUGGGUCCGGGCCUCCGCCCCCUGGGGGGUUCGGGCGCCGGGGCGGUCCGCCGAAGCAACGUAGGUAUGUUCACAGGGGUUUGGGAGUCGGUAUAACUCUGUAAUGAUCCCUCCGCUGGUUCACCAACGGAGA
rnacentral:misc_RNA from 1 species